CAAUGGAAAAGUGCAGCAGUUUACCUUGAGCCCUCCAUCUUCAGGUGAAGACACUGAAACAGCUGCAACGACAAAAUCAACAAAAACAAAAUUACUGACGCCAUCAACAACAGCAACGACAGAGACGAACCAAAAUGCACCUACAACCAAUGAUACUGCAACAACAACAAAAGGCUGGUUGAGGUUCCUCAUCGUGUCUGUGGGUUUAAGUGCACUCAUAAUAAUCGUUGUGUCAGUCAGCAUCUGGACGAGAACUAAAGGGAACAAAACACAGAUCAGUGAAAAUGCUGUGCAUGAUGAUGAAGAUGGAGAUGAAGCUACGGUGAACUAUGAAAACGUUGGAGAACCUUCUGCUUCUAUCAGACUCCACUGAUCAACAACUUUCACUCCAGCAUCAACUCAGCAGAUUCCACCACAGUUAAAUAGCUUCUCUGUAUUCAUUGUAAUGGGAA